GGAUUUGCGCAUGAUCUGACUGAGAUGUCAUUCACUCCCUGGGCUGCCAGGAUUGAUUGAGCUGAUCUGGCUGGCUUGCUCCCUCACAUCAUUUCCAAAGCUGUGAUUACUCAAAGAAGAUUCCCUUUUUUGGAUAGGACUGGGUUUCAGUCAGGAGUAUUAGGAAUAGGUGAACUUCCCACCUAGAACUUCUGAAGUGGACUGCCAGAUCUCAUCAUAGAAGACUGUAGGGUAGUCAGACUUCACGCUUUAUUUGGCUUUCGUUUUAUGAGACACCUCUAAAC
rnacentral:snRNA from 1 species